GGGGAGGAGAUGGAAUGGAGUGGGAGGGGAUGAGGCUCACAAACCAGGGUUUUUUUUCGCAUUACUUUUUUUUCUCCCUUGGUCUUGUCAGCAGAGCGUUUGUUGCAAAAGCUAUGACUCUCAGCCAGCCACUUAGCACCCCAUCGUUGGUGGGAAGGGGAGGGUGGUUUCAUUUCUGAGCCUUAAGGAUCUGUGUCCCACAUCUCCCACUGCCUUCCCUUGGAUGUGGGCAGUGAGGGGGGGUCACAGUCCUGAGCUCACAGCCCACUGCAACCUCUCCCACUGACCAGAAGCACCCUGGUCACCCGAUCUGGAUCUCUGCAGCAACAACAUGGAACCUGCCAAUAUUGCCAGGCAACGGUGCAUUUGCCCAUAUCAGAGGCAAAUAGGCAUCCUCACUUGUUUACAUGUCCAAUCUGAAUUGCAUCUUCGAUUUCGCCGUGCACUGAAAAGCUUGAUCUCGGAAAGGGUACUUUUCGGAUAUGUUCCAUAUAAAAUUGCAUUCUCUGUUUACUGUGUUAACAUUGCAGCAGGUCUGGCAUUGCUGGCAGCUUCUGAAUGUUAAUCAUCAGAAUGCCUCAUCUCCUGGACCUGCAUUGCCCACAACCAAGAAAAUUGGGUGGAUCAAUAUGCUCUCCUAAUUUAUAAUGCAUGCAAUCAAAAUGUACAAUGGCUUCAUAACAUCUAUGCAAACAAUAAACUAACCAACAGAUAA